rnacentral:rRNA from 1 species
UGGGGAAUAUUGCACAAUGGGCGCAAGCCUGAUGCAGCCAUGCCGCGUGUAUGAAGAAGGCCUUCGGGUUGUAAAGUACUUUCAGCGGGGAGGAAGGGAGUAAAGUUAAUACCUUUGCUCAUUGACGUUACCCGCAGAAGAAGCACCGGCUAACUCCGUGCCAGCAGCCGCGGUAAUACGGAGGGUGCAAGCGUUAAUCGGAAUUACUGGGCGUAAAGCGCACGCAGGCGGUUUGUUAAGUCAGAUGUGAAAUCCCCGGGCUCAACCUGGGAACUGCAUCUGAUACUGGCAAGCUUGAGUUUCGGAGAGGGGGGUAGAAUUCCAGGUGUAGCGGUGAAAUGCGUAGAGAUCUGGAGGAAUACCGGUGGCGAAGGCGGCCCCCUGGACGAAGACUGACGCUCAGGUGCGAAAGCGUGGGGAGCAAACAGG